rnacentral:rRNA from 1 species
GGGUUGUGAGGUUAAGCGACUAAGCGUACACGGUGGAUGCCCUGGCAGUCAGAGGCGAUGAAGGACGUGCUAAUCUGCGAUAAGCGUCGGUAAGGUGAUAUGAACCGUUAUAACCGGCGAUUUCCGAAUGGGGAAACCCAGUGUGUUUCGACACACUAUCAUUAACUGAAUCCAUAGGUUAAUGAGGCGAACCGGGGGAACUGAAACAUCUAAGUACCCCGAGGAAAAGAAAUCAACCGAGAUUCCCCCAGUAGCGGCGAGCGAACGGGGAGGAGCCCAGAGCCUGAAUCAGUGUGUGUGUUAGUGGAAGCGUCUGGAAAGGCGCGCGAUACAGGGUGACAGCCCCGUACACAAAAAUGCACAUGCUGUGAGCUCGAUGAGUAGGGCGGGACACGUGGUAUCCUGUCUGAAUAUGGGGGGACCAUCCUCCAAGGCUAAAUACUCCUGACUGACCGAUAGUGAACCAGUACCGUGAGGGAAAGGCGAAAAGAACCCCGGCGAGGGGAGUGAAAAAGAACCUGAAACCGUGUACGUACAAGCAGUGGGAGCACAGAGCAAUCUGUGUGACUGCGUACCUUUUGUAUAAUGGGUCAGCGACUUAUAUUCUGUAGCAAGGUUAACCGAAUAGGGGAGCCGAAGGGAAACCGAGUCUUAACUGGGCGUUAAGUUGCAGGGUAUAGACCCGAAACCCGGUGAUCUAGCCAUGGGCAGGUUGAAGGUUGGGUAACACUAACUGGAGGACCGAACCGACUAAUGUUGAAAAAUUAGCGGAUGACUUGUGGCUGGGGGUGAAAGGCCAAUCAAACCGGGAGAUAGCUGGUUCUCCCCGAAAGCUAUUUAGGUAGCGCCUCGUGAAUUCAUCUCCGGGGGUAGAGCACUGUUUCGGCAAGGGGGUCAUCCCGACUUACCAACCCGAUGCAAACUGCGAAUACCGGAGAAUGUUAUCACGGGAGACACACGGCGGGUGCUAACGUCCGUCGUGAAGAGGGAAACAACCCAGACCGCCAGCUAAGGUCCCAAAGUCAUGGUUAAGUGGGAAACGAUGUGGGAAGGCCCAGACAGCCAGGAUGUUGGCUUAGAAGCAGCCAUCAUUUAAAGAAAGCGUAAUAGCUCACUGGUCGAGUCGGCCUGCGCGGAAGAUGUAACGGGGCUAAACCAUGCACCGAAGCUGCGGCAGCGACACUGUGUGUUGUUGGGUAGGGGAGCGUUCUGUAAGCCUGUGAAGGUGUGCUGUGAGG